rnacentral:misc_RNA from 1 species
AUGAAGAACGCAGCGAAAUGCGAUAAUUAAUGUGAAUUGCAGAAUUCCGUGAAUCAUCGAGUCUUUGAACGCACAUUGCGCCUCAUGGCAUUCCGUGAGGCAUGCCCAUCUCAGCGUUAGAAAAUAUUCUCAAAUUUUAGUUUUGUGCUAAAAUUUGGAUCAUGUCAAGGAAGCUAUUACUAUUAUUGUGAUCGCUCUUUGGAAAUUGAUAGGUCUUUGAGUUGCUACUCAUAGAACGUGAUGAAUCUUUCUUCGUUCUAUUGUAAUUCACUCUGGUAGUCCUAAAACUUGUAUGCCUGUGGCAUAUCUUGUAAUUUGACCUGAGAUUGGGUAGGGAUACCCGCUGAACUUAAGCAUAUCAAUAAGCGGAGGA